GGAAAAGAAACAAACGCAAGAAACUGAAAUACCAAGAAUGGAAAAGCGUUGCCAGAAUUAUCAGAGGACUAGAUUCAGAGACCUAGGAGAUCCUUGUGUGUCCUGGCUCCCGCAGGGCAUGCCUCUGUGUCCUCCCAUCUGCGCUACAGGAGACUGGAAGCAUAAGUAUUGCCCCGGAUAUCGAUGGCUGGGGCAUGGACAGCUUUCAUGGCCUUCUUGCCGAGCCCCUUUGGCUGCCAAUUUUGAAUCACGUGCGUUCAGUUGGAUGAGCAGUUGCUUGGCUCCCCAACGUAAUUUUGUUAACGCGUACUUCCCUUCAUUUACCAAAUCAGGCAAAGAAAUUCAAUGCAAAAAGACUUUUUCCAAACGUUUUAUUUGAGACUUUAUAAAGUCCCAAAUCAAGAGAUGCAAAGCCGUGGCUCUCACAGCCCUCUUAACUCCACUGUAUUGCCCGGAUAACACUGCAGAUUGGAAAGAAGAUACUCUGGGUAACAUAACUCUCGGUUUCUGAGCUUAACAACUGCUAAACUUCACUACAGCCUGGAAUAUUGACAUGCACCUUUCCUUUUUUGCUCCAGAAGCAAACUUUUUUUAAAGGAGAAGUUAAGAGAAGGUGUGAUACUGUCUCAUGCAAAUUACCAAGAGAAAAACAAGGUCUUACUUGUACCUUUAAAUCAACACUGAAUUCUGCUACAGACCAUAGCAGAAUCUGUAUCGCCAUAAUGAACUUCCUGCCAACAGCUAAGGAGGAAACGUGCUAUUUACUGAGCAUCAGUACUCCUCAGAGCGUAACACUACAACCUCGAGGCUCGCUCACAGACGCGCAGCAAUACAGGGCAUACCUAAUCUGUGUUUCAACUCUUACGAGUUUCUGAGUGCUGAGACGUAAGGACUAACCAUAACUGUGGUGCUGGGAUAGGUUUACAUCAUCUACUGUACUCUUGCUUUGCUUAGCAAACUGGAAAAAAAAAAAAAACAGAGCUAUCAAUAUGUACACAGAUCUGUAUGAACGAUUAAAGCCUUGUCCCAGCAAAUGUUUAUGUUGAAUACUGAGCAGAUGAUAUACCCCUUUAAAGAUAACUGCUUUCAUUUUUAAAUACAUAUGUUGCAGGGUCUGAGCCUAUCAGACAAUACAGAAACAGAGCAAUAUGUCUAGAACUAGUUUUUUCUAUAAAGAGGUGCAGUUCUUAUAUUGGCUGCAUUUAAGUAAAAGCUAUAAUGUUGUUGUUAUGAUGUGAUAUGUAGUUUUGGUACAAGAAUGAAAUAUUCUGUAUUUCAUCAUUGCAACUUUUUUUAAACAAUGUAACCUUGUAAACUGUAAAUGUAUUUAAAUGCAUAUAUUUUGCAAGAAAACUACCAAAGUUGGCUUGUUAUGUGGUUUGGUGCCUUUAUUCAUUUCAUGGCAAUUUUAUUUUAAAUGAUAACGUCCAACUGUCACCCAGUUCAUAGCGAUAGACACACUAUACCCUCAUUCAGCCCUCUUGCGUGAAAGAAAAGAGUCAAUAGAUCUUAGCCCAAAUCCUGCAGAUUUCAUUCUCUUUUGGUAAAUCUCAUUAAUUUAGUGGGAAUUUGUCUCAGUUAAAGAAUCAAAAAAUAACCCCAUACUGAUGGACACACCUCUGUGUAACUUCACUCUAGCACUAUUUUUCAUUAAAUAAAGUUAUGAAAAGGUUGCUGGGGUAAAGCCCA
ensembl:lncRNA